CCCCGUGCCAGAAAUUCUUUCUCCGUACCCGUCGAUUCGCGGGAGGCAGCCAUGGAGCACGGUUCGGUGGCGGAUUCGAGCGCGUCGACCUUCUCCAUCAUGGAGGAGGAUCACACCCUCGCCAACUCCGUCAGAUUUGUCCUCAACCAGGACCCAAGGGUAGCAUUUUGUGGAUAUAGCAUCCCUCAUCCUGCUGACAACAAAGUCAACAUAAGAGUUCAGACUACAGGAGAUCCAGCAAAGGAUGUAAUGAAAGAUGCUUUACAGGACUUGAUGGUGAUGGGCCAGCAUGUUAGAGGGACUUUUGACAAAGCAGUGGCUGAUUUUAAAUCAAAGAUGCCUGCAGAACAAAUGGAUGUUGAUUUGAAUCAGCAAUGA
rnacentral:rRNA from 1 species